CCUACGGGAGGCAGCAGUGGGGAAUAUUGCACAAUGGGGGAAACCCUGAUGCAGCGACGCCGCGUGAGUGAAGAAGUAUUUCGGUAUGUAAAGCUCUAUCAGCAGGGAAGAAAUAGCUACCAUUGGGUCGCCAGACGGUACCUGAUUAAGGAGCCCCGGCUAACUACGUGCCAGCAGCAGCGGUAAGACGUAGGGGGCAAGCGUGAUCCGGAUGUACUGGGUGUAAAGGGAGCGUAGACGGCAGCGUAAGGCUGAAGUGAAAUGCCGGGGCUUAACCCCGGAACUUCUUUGGAAACUGUGCAGCUAGAGUGCAGGAGAGGUAAGUGGAAUUCCUAGUGUAGCGGUGAAAUGCGUAGCUAUUAGGAGGAACACCAGUGGCGAAGGCGGCUUACUGGACUGUAACUGACGUUGAGGCUCGAAAGCGUGGGGAGCAAACAGGAUUAGAUACCCCUGUAGUC
rnacentral:rRNA from 1 species